rnacentral:lncRNA from 1 species
GGCAGGGGCUGGUCUUUCAGUUUUCUGUUUGAGGAUUUGUUUCAGUUGUCUGCUCUAAGGAAGCUUCUUAUUCCUAGAUUCAAGCAGAAAAGGUGAAGCCAGAAACUUGAAGCAAGAACGAGCUCGUCAUUCACUCAAGAGGUCCAUGUCUCAUUUCUGGGCAAAUGACUGAAGUGCAACCCUAACAGGACACUUUACAUCAAAGGUUGCAAAGAUGACACCAUGGCACUCUGUGCUUCUGUGUUUGAGCAAAAAACCAUCUGUCUGGAGUCUCUGGGGGAUCACAACUCAACCACUUCAAGGAAGGGGUCUUCUAGUGACUUAACCUCGUGAUUCUACAGAGGGUCUAUAGAUAGAAGUGUAUGCUCUCUAGCUCAUGGCUGCAUCUGACCAGCUGUAGAAAAUCCAAUUGUACCGGAAGGCAAAGGGACCACAAGGGCGUAGGAAGAAGCUGUGAUACCAGCUGUGCAUUGAGUCAGUAAGCUUCCCCAGCAGCCUCCACUUGACUUGAAAUCUGCCAUGCCUUGAUGGACAUCUGAGAAGAGAGUGAGGUCCCAGAGAGGCUGCCUAUGAAUUCAGGCAGCAGUAUAUCAAGAUGAGAAAUGUAUAAACAGCAGAGAUGCUGGAGGUCUGCGUCCCCAGUCAAACAGGUACAAAGAAGACUAUGGAGUUAGAUAUAUGUAACAGCUCAUUUGCAGAGAAAUAUCCCCUACAAGACAGGAAGAUGCUGCUUCUAAUCACACAGCCGAAGUGCGACGUUGUGAGACUGAAAUGGACAACCGAACCAUAUGAUCAGCCUUCUUUUAUGAGAACACUAUGUCAGUCAGUCAGUUUAUGACCUGAAAUUACAUGGGAAGAGUCUGAUCCUGGCCCCGCUGAAUGCAAAGAGGAGAUGCAGCUUUGGAGCUCCUGCCAUCAUCACAUCCUCGACCUUUUGUGUGUCAUUAGCUUGAGACUGAAGUUGUCCUGUCCCUCCCGACCUCUCAGCGGGAGCUGAGCUGAGCAGCACCGCGGGCACCCAGCACCCAGGUCCUUCCUGUGUCAGAGGCCUCGGUGGGCUCAGCAC